rnacentral:rRNA from 1 species
UCCUUAGAUGUUCUGGGCCGCACGCGCGCUACACUGAUACGUUCAACGAGUUUACAACCUUGAUCGAUAGGUCUGGGUAAUCUUUGGAAUGCGUAUCGUGCUAGGGAUAGAUUAUUGCAAUUAUUAAUCUUGAACGAGGAAUUCCUAGUAAACGCAAGUCAUCAGCUUGCAUUGAUUACGUCCCUGCCCUUUGUACACACCGCCCGUCGCAGCUACUGAUUGAAUGGUCCGGUGAAGCGUUCGGACCGUGGCCUUUGGACGGUUCGCCGUCUGUUGGCUGCGGGAAGUUCGUUAAACCUUAUCAUUUAGAGGAAGGAGAAGUCGUANCA